rnacentral:rRNA from 1 species
CUGCUUCUACUUUCUGUAGGGAGCUGGGAGCGUCUGCCUGUUGGACGCCUGGAGGGCGUCAAGUUUAAUCCGUGGAAUGAAUAUGACGAAUUACGACGCCGCACUUGGUAUUACAAGUGGGAUGUGGUUUCCGAGAUGACGAAUGAUGUCAAUAUCAUGUACCAAAAGUACAUUGCCGAGUUGGACACGAUUACGCCGGAGCAGGUAAUGCGGACAUUACUUCAGUCAUUUCUCAUGGUUGCAUGGAUAAUUGUCAUCAAUGUUGCAUUGUUGUCCUAUUUCACAAGUGCAAUGGCAGCCAUAUGGUGCCAAUGA